rnacentral:rRNA from 1 species
UACGAAGGGUGCAAGCGUUAAUCGGAAUUACUGGGCGUAAAGCGCACGUAGGCGGUUGGUUAAGUUGGAUGUGAAAGCCCCGGGCUCAACCUGGGAAUUGCAUUCAAAACUGGCCAACUAGAGUACGUGAGAGGGGGGUAGAAUUCCAAGUGUAGCGGUGAAAUGCGUAGAGAUUUGGAGGAAUACCAGUGGCGAAGGCGGCCCCCUGGCACGAUACUGACGCUCAGGUGCGAAAGCGUGGGGAGCAAACAGG